AACGCGAAGAACCUUACCAGGGCUUGACAUCCCUUUGAAGCAGCUAGAGAUAGCUGUUGUCCCUUCGGGGACAAGGAGACAGGUGGUGCAUGGUUGUCGUCAGCUCGUGUCGUGAGAUGUUGGUUAAGUCCGCAACGAGCGCAACCCCUACUUGUUAGUUGCCAUCAUUCAGUUGGGCACUCUAGCGAGACUGCCGGUAAUAAACCGGAGGAAGGUGGGAUGACGUCAAAUCAUCAUGCCCCUUAUGACCUGGGCUACACACGUGCUACAAUGGUUGGUACAACGAGUUGCGAGUCGGUGACGGCGAGCUAAUCUACUUAAAGCCAAUCUCAGUUCGGAUUGUAGGCUGCAACUCGCCUACAUGAAGUCGGAAUCGCUAGUAAUCGUGGAUCAGCAUGCCACGGUCGAAUACGUUCCCGGGCCUU
rnacentral:rRNA from 1 species